UUUAUGAACAGACAAUCCGGUAACGCUCUGAAUUUACGAACGACAACAGCGCAAUUUACGAACACACCCCCUAGGUUCCUUGCGGAUCAACCUCAUACUCUGGGACGUAAAAUAGUGUUAUGUCUUGAGACAUUUUAUUUUGGAAUGUUGAACAUUUCAAAUUCGUGGAUCAUUCUUCAGUCAAUUGACAGAUGAUGCAAGACUCAAAAACGACCUGGAGGAUUUACAAACUGUUACAAAAGUAUUUUAAUAUGUAAUGCAUGUUUAGCCCAAACAAUAUUUUGUCCAUAUGAAGAAAUAUGUUAAUGACAUCUUGUUUUAUAUUAUGCAGACUCUGGUUAGCUAUCUAGUAGCUAAAAGCUAUCUAGUAGCUAACAACUGUCAUUAGCUAGCAUAGCAAUUAUAGUAAAAAACGAUGUAGCUAGCUAGUUCAAUCUCUGAAAGGCAUGUUACUUUUUUCAGUUGCCCAUGAAGUCCAUGCGGGAUCAGAAAGAGGAGAAGGGAUCAUGUCAAAUGUCUCAACCUCGGUGAUAGCUCAGUCAUCACCAUCUGAUUAUAUAAAGAUGUUUCAAGACAUGUUGAGACAAAGCUGAUCUACUCUAACACCUGACUGCAAUUCUUGUCUUUUCUGUGCAGUUUUAUUUAAUAGAGAAUACAUCUAAAUGUUACAUGAAAUAUAUGCCCAAAAUAAAUGGCUGGUGGAUUAGAUGUUUUUGUUUUGUUGAUCAACCUCACAUGCUGCAGAGUAGACUGGAUUUAUCGGAGUGCUAACCUCUAUGCAUGAAUAUGCUGACGAGGUAAAUUAUGACUGGAUGCUUGUAUCUGCUUUUUGCUUUCACACGUGCUUUAAUAGUUAUUGUGUAAUGAACAUGACCCAUUUCUCUUUUGUCAGGAUAUAAGGAUGGAAUACAUGUCAACAGCUCCGACUCAAUCAAGAAAUAGAAUAAAACUAGGGUCCUAUCUGGUGUCAAACAUUAAGCCCUCGUGGAUGGUAGGGCUUUCUGCUUCAGAUUAAGCAAUAGAAGCUCUGAGAUCUCCAAACAAGAGAUGACUAUCUGGCUGUAAAGACUUGAAGAUAGUUGUUUGGAGUUCUAUAACACCUUUACCAAAUUAUUUUGUUGCUUCUGCCUCUUAAUUGUCAAUAAAUCUAGAUUACUUUGA